ensembl:snRNA U6 U6 spliceosomal RNA
UUGCUCGCUUCAGCAGCACAUAUACUAAAAUUGGAACAAUAUAGAUAUUAGCUUGGCCCCUGCACAAGUAUGACACUCAAGUUGUGUAGUGUUCCACAUUAAA